AUUUCUAGAUACUUUAGGUGUAUUUUAAUCUCUGAAGAAACAUUUAAGAAACCUAAAGACCACCAGUAGUGCAGCUGAAAGUUUAGUGUCACGGACACCGAUUCGGGUAAGAAUCUCUCACCUUAUUUCUUAUUAUGGAAUUGAAGUCUAAUUAUAAAUAAUAUGGUAUUUUGCUUAAUUUUGAAAACUUCGAUAAUUAAUUACAGGUUACUAAU
rnacentral:lncRNA from 1 species